GAUGGGCAGUGAUGAUAAAUUUACAGCUUUAAAUGCCAGUUCUGCUUCAGAAAAUUCUUGAUUGAUAGAGCUGAUACAUGUUCUGAGCCAAGU
rnacentral:snoRNA from 1 species